CCGGGGGGGAGCUGAGCAUAUCAAUAAGCGGAGGAAAAGAAACCAACAGGGAUUGCCCUAGUAACGGCGAGUGAAGCGGCAACAGCUCAAAUUUGAAAGCUGGCCUUCGGGUCCGCAUUGUAAUUUGUAGAGGAUGCUUUGGGUAAAACGCCAGUCUAAGUUCCUUGGAACAGGACGUCAUAGAGGGUGAGAAUCCCGUAUGUGACUGGAAAUGUUAACCUAUGUAAAGCUCCUUCGACGAGUCGAGUUGUUUGGGAAUGCAGCUCUAAAUGGGAGGUAAAUUUCUUCUAAAGCUAAAUAUUGGCGAGAGACCGAUAGCGCACAAGUAGAGUGAUCGAAAGAUGAAAAGCACUUUGGAAAGAGAGUUAAAAAGCACGUGAAAUUGUUGAAAGGGAAGCGCUUGCAAUCAGACUUGUUUAAACUGUUCGGCCGGUCUUCUGACCGGUUUACUCAGUUUGGACAGGCCAGCAUCAGUUUCGGCGGCCGGAUAAAGGCUCUGGGAAUGUGGCCUCCACUUCGGUGGAGGUGUUAUAGCCCAGUGUGUAAUACGGCCAGCCGGGACUGAGGUCCGCGCUUCGGCUAGGAUGCUGGCGUAAUGGUUGUAAGCGACCCGUCUUGAAACACGGACCAAGGAGUCUAACAUCUAUGCGAGUGUUCGGGUGUCAAACCCCUGCGCGUAAUGAAAGUGAACGGAGGUGGGAACCGCAAGGUGCACCAUCGACCGAUCCUGAUGUCUUCGGAUGGAUUUGAGUAAGAGCAUAGCUGUUGG
rnacentral:rRNA from 1 species